rnacentral:rRNA from 1 species
UACGGGGGGGCAAGCGUUGUUCGGAAUUACUGGGCGUAAAGGGCUCGUAGGUGGCCAACUAAGUCAGACGUGAAAUCCCUCAGCUUAACUGGGGAACUGCGUCUGAUACUGGAUGGCUUGAGUUUGGGAGAGGGAUGCGGAAUUCCAGGUGUAGCGGUGAAAUGCGUAGAUAUCUGGAGGAACACCGGUGGCGAAGGCGGCAUCCUGGACCAACACUGACACUGAUGAGCGAAAGCGUGGGGAGCGAACAGG